rnacentral:rRNA from 1 species
CCUACGGGAGGCAGCAGUGGGGAAUAUUGGGCAAUGGGCGCAAGCCUGACCCAGCAACGCCGCGUGAAGGAUGAAGGUUUUCGGAUUGUAAACUUCUGUUGCGAGGGACGAAGAAUGAGGGUACCUUGCAAGAAAGCCUCGGCUAACUACGUGCCAGCAGCCGCGGUAAUAAGCAGGGGGCAAGCGUUGUCCGGAAUGACUGGGCGUAAAGGGAGUGGAGGCGGCUCAUCAGGUUAGGUGUGAAAUCCCGCGGCUGAACCGCCGAACUGCAUCUGAAACUGGUAGGCUGGAGUGCAGGAGAGGUAGGUGGAAUUCGUGGUGUAGCGGUGGAAUGCGUAGAUAUUAGGAGGAACGCCAGAGGCGAAGGCGGCUCACUGGACUGUAACUGACGCUGAGGCUCGAAAGCGUGGGGAGCAAACAGGAUUAGAUACCCGGGUAGUC